rnacentral:lncRNA from 1 species
GAAUUUAUUUUCUUGAAGAGACAUUAACUAGCACCUUUUUCUCCCUCAAACUGACAUUGAAAAAUUUUCUUCUUUGGUAGAAUAAGAUUUGAAUAACCAAAAGUCCGAACAACCAGCAAUGGUAUCAAUUACCGUCGAAGGAUUCAGCCCACAAAAAAAACAGGUGCUUCGAUAAACUAAAAAUGAAAUUAAUUUUAUUUUGUUCUUUCUUCUUACCAGUUCUUUCUUUGUGUCUAUUUCUUAUUUUUAUCCCUAAUAUUGUUGUGGAAGAAUGAUCCAGAAUCGUAGCAAUAGAAUUUUGAUUUGGUGAUGAUUUAGUUUUCUAGAUUUUAGUUUAAUCAUGAUUUUAAUUUUCAGAUAUUGGUUAGAUGCUAACUUUAAUUUUCAGAUUUUAAUUAGGUGGUGAAUUUAGAAUUUUAGGGUUAUGAUUUGGUGGUGAUUUAGUUUUUGAUUUCAAUUUAGUGGUGGUUUGAUGAUUUUAGUGGUGGAUAUGAUUGUUAUGGCAGUGAUAUUGGAGGCUAAAGUGGUGGCAAUGUUAACGGAGAAGAAGAAAGAAAGAAAAAAGAAUAAGGAAAAGAGAAACAAAAAGAAAGAAAAGAAAAACAAAAGAUAAAUGAAAUAAAUAAUGAAUAAAAAGAAAAUGAUAUGGCCUCAUGUGAUUGGUGCGUGUGUGUUAGUUUGUGUGAGUCCACCAAACAGUAGAGUAUCUGGUUCUCUACGAGAUUCUGCUGAGAAUGCGAAUAAAGCAGUACGUAAAUAAGACAGAUGAUUUUUAUGUGGAAACAUCUCACACAAGGGGAUCAAAAAACCACGACCUAUACUUGUAGGCUUUAAGCUUCACUAACUUGUAAAAACCUAUUACAAGCCACUUUGCAAUGACUCCAUUACAAAGAAUUUACUCAACUAACUUGUGGUACUCUUACCACAAGCCAUUUUGUGACUUCCUAGUUACAAAGGCUUUUACUAACUUGUGAUUCUCUCACCACAAGCUACUUUGUAACUCUACGAUUACAAAGAUUUUUGCUUAUGACAUACCUAGUCACAACAUAAACUCAAGGAGUUUAUGGAUUUACAAGAGGAUUCCUAAUNNNNNNNNNNNNNNNNNNNNNNNNNAAGCUAUCUUUUAGGAACUGGUCCGUAGUUGCGUUCAACUUUGUUCUUCAAGCUUGUGAGGAUUGACUUCUCUGUUUUUUGCAAGAAGCUUGAAUGAGAAACUGAAACCUUCAAGUGAUGUUUUGUAUAAACUCAUUGUAGGUACAUCUUGAUCACAUCACUUGAAAUGAUGUGAGCACUUUAGUUGGUCAGAGAAUGAGUGGGCGCUGGAGACAGUGCAGUGCGGCAAAAAUAGUGCAGUCAGUCACUUCAUUUCCAGAUGUGACCAAUUGACUUGUACUGUGAUGAGGAAACCACAAGGGUAUCAGGUCCUUGUUUGGAUUCCUAGCUCCUGAAGCUGUAGCAGUUUCCAUUUAGAUGGAAUUAGUUAAGCUUGCAGUAUAGUCCGAGUAGGUCAGGUUCCCUAUCUGGUUCUUAACAGUAAGUUUGUUAGAUCAUCAAAACAUAAGGCAAGAACAUUUAAAACUUAUCAAUUUCCCCUUUUUGAUGAUGACAUACUUAACAAUUAUAGAGUGGAUUUAGAACAGUAAGAACCGGAUUAUGUAACACGAUAACACAAGUUUUCCCUGACUCUAUCAGGAUAACACAGGUUCCCCCUGAAACACAGGCCCCGUGUUAUUUUUCCCCCUUUUGGCAUCAUUAAAAAAGAAAGAAUAACAGUACAAAGAAGUCCAGAUAAGCUAACUCAAGCCACAUAUGUGCACACAAUCAUGAUAGAGAAUAGAAACACAGAAGGAAAGUACUGGCAUAAUAAAAUAAGGAUUGAUAUUAAUAUAACUUUAAUAUGUCUUUGCUUUGAAAAAGCGAAAGGCAACAUUGGACUUAUUAAAACGUGAGGAGUAGUGUUUCAUCCCAACCACAUAAAAAAGAAAACAAAAACAUCCGCCAAAACAUCAAAGAAAAAAUAACAAACAUUUCUAGAAACUGGUCACUGAAGGGGUACUUAAGGGGCACUAGGAGUAAAGGGCUUGGAAGCUGCAGCAAGUGUUUGCAGAAUGAGGUCUAUUCGGGCAUUUCCUGACUUUUGCUCAUUGAGCAGUUCUGCCUUCAGGUUCUCUACUUGCGCCCUGAGAUCAACAUUCUCCUUUGUCAAAUGAGCCACUUCAUCAUUUGACACCGGAACCCCUUGGGCUUGUUGACUUUCCAAGAUAGCAUUCCUGGACUUCAACCGACUAAUUUCCUUAGUUGCACUGUUCUGAGCAUUAAUAAGCUGUGAGGCGGUUGAUACCCCCCAUUCUUUUCCAUGCACUCGCACUCUUCCAAAGUUGUCUGCGAUAAAGUCUGCUUCCUAGUUCCCACCUUGCCUAUCCCCAGUGGGACUUCAAAGAAUCUGAACAUUUGUGUAACCAGGAACCCAUAGGGAAGACCAUGAUUACCAUUUUUGAAAGUGGCAACCUUUUGCAUGUGCUCAAUCAUAAUAGCAGGAAGACUCACAGGAGUAAAACUGUCCAGUUGCUCCAUCAAGAAUAGGUCAGACUUAGAAGUCACUGACCUCCUCUCAGCUCGAGGCAAUAGAACUUUGUUAACCAAUUCGAACAGCAGCUGAUAGACAGGGAGUAGCACUUUCUUAUGGAUCUGGUCCCCUUUCUGGUUUGCAUUGGUUUUUAUAACAGCAUUUCUGAAAUUAAACUGACACACAUCUUUUACACUGGACACACCAGCUAUAGGAACUUUUAGGAUCUCUCCAAGCAACUUUACAUCGAACAUAAUGUCCACCCCAUUGACCAAGGCACAAAUGUGGUCAGUCUCAACUGGAAAGAAGCUAGCAAAGAAGCUUUGUACCUUAUCCUCGUAUACCUUAGGUGCAUCAGUUUGAAAUAGAUGCGCCCAACAUUGAAACUCAACCAUUUCCAGAAUUUGGCGCAUUCCAGCCAUUUCAGAGAUUGUUGGGUCAAAUGUACGACCCAACAGAACAUUUUGAUGCCUCAAGCGUUCAGAGACAAGGCUGACUUCGCUUCUCAUUCUCUUCACAUAACCAGUGUUUUCAAAAGUUUCAAACUUGCGUUUGUCGGACUUCUCUCCACUGAUUUUUCCUUUUCCUUUGGAUUUGAUUAGCACAUCCUUAUAAGACAUCAAAAACUCACUUACUAACUUCUUCAUCUUGGACCUAGAUAUUGACCCCUUCUCUACUAAAGCAGGCUUCGUCUUUUUUGAAGACCGUCUAACAAGUAAACCAGGUUCAUCUAGGGUUUCCUCUUCGACCUCGACUACAGGGAUCGCCUCAUCACUUACAGGUACAUCGUCUUUCACCAACUUUCUCCUUUUCUUCUUACUACUCUUCUUGCUCUUUUGAAGAGCAGAAUUGUAGGCCACCUUAACUUGAAGCCCGGUAGUAGGUCAUUUGGUUUCAGACUCAGGAGUGGACAUAACCCUCCGCUUGCUUAUGAAUGCAUCAAGAGCCACAUUGUCUAGGUCUUCUUCAUCACUUGAUCUUAUUUCAGGUGCUUGAAUUUCCAAGGGCAUAACAUCGAUUGUAGGAACAACAUUGUCAUGGGAAUGAGAGCCCUGACCUGUGUCCUCCGGAGAGGGAUCAGGUUCCUCAUGUGAUGCCCCAGUAGUAUCUGUGAGUGCAUCCCUUUCAAAAGUUACAACGGCCCUUCUUCCCCCACACCUUAUGCCUCUUUUAUCUGAGAGGUGAUCUCAUGCAGUACACCAUUAGCAGACACUACAAACACGGUUACAACAUUUGUCUCUUCCUCGCAUGGUGCUACCACUACCAUGGAAUUGGUAGUAAUGAUGGCAGAACUCAUUGUAACCUCAGGGUUUUGACCUUGUUCUCCACAUGGUUUUUGAUUGGGGGAGCCUCAGACGAUGGGGAGAACGAAGCAACAGUGUCAAGGGAUUCUGAAUUAGCAAGACACUAGGAAAUUGGGUGAGGUGUAACUGUAGCAGCAGGAGUAAUAGUAGAUAAGGAAGGUUCAGUGGGAGCGGAAGGCUCCAGAGAUUGAUUAGUAGUAGUUACAACUGAGGCAGGGAGAUCAGAAGUUGUCUCAGCCAUUAAAAAAGAAAAGACGAUGUUUUUGGGAAAUUCUAAUGGAAGACUUAUGGUUAGGAGACCAGAAAAUAGGGUUUUUAAAAGGAGAGGAUAAUUAUGAAGAAAGAGGAAUAGGCACCGGUUCUGAAACGGCGGUUAGGCAUAGAGAAUUGCAAUGUUUUAGAGGGAGAUGGAACGAUUUGAAAUGAAGAGACGUGAUAGCAGGAUCAGAAAAGUUGAUGACAUGGCAGUUGUGUUUUAUACCCUUUUUAAGACGUGUAUUAAAGGAUGCACAAAACUACUAACCUUUGGUACAAGAACCAGGUUCUUGACCUUUUUAUUUGAAAUAGUCAAUCCUCUUUUAUCAUGCAAGCACUGCAUCUACAACUUCUAUACUCAUCAUGUGUGUUUACCUGCAAUGGUAUUGAAGUGAGUUAGACAUGGCGAGAAAACACUUUUAGCCAGUUAUUUCUUGAAGGUGAAAGCUAGAUAAAGAGGAAUCAUGUUCUCAAUUGGACUUUAAAAGCCCCAACUUCACUCUGUUUCUUUCAAAUUGUUCCCUACUUAGCGCCUUGGUGAAUAUGUUCGCAAUUUGAUCUUUUGUGCUGCAGAACUUCAUACAUAUCAGCCCUUUCUCCACAUUAUCCCUCAGAAAAUGAUGCCACACAUCAAUAUGCUUUGUCCUUUUGUGUUGAACUAGAUUCUUAGCCAUGUUGAGUGCACUGGUGUUGUCACAUAGAAGGGGCACACUCUCAGUGAGUACCCCAAAGUUCUCCAGUUGCUGCUUGAACCAUAAAAGCUGAGCACAUAAGGAUGUUGUGGCUACAUAUUCAGCUUCAGCUAUUAAAAGAGCCACCGAAUUUUGCUUCCUUGUGCCCCAAGAGAUAAGGCAUGAACUUAAGAAGUGAGCCAUUACAGAAGUGCUUUUCCUGUCCACAAUAUAACCUGCAUAAUUUGUUUCAGCAUGCCCAAUCGGAUUAAAACUGUCACCUGACGGAUAAUACAUUACCAGGUCAUGGUUUGAAAACAAUAUCAGGUCUGCUAGCAGUGAGAUAGAAGAGAGACCCAAUAAUGCCUCUAUACAUGGUUUGAAUCACAUGAGAUCCAGUUUCAUCCAUGUCUAGUCGAGUGGCAGUAGCAAUGGGAGUGUCUAUCACCUUUGAUGCUUCCAUGUCAAACCUCUUCAAGAGCUCCCUGAUGUAUUUUUGUUGACAAAUGGAUAUACCCUUUCGGGACUAUUUUAGUUGAAGACCCAAGAAGAAGUUUAGUUCCCCUAUCAUGCUCAUUUCAAAUUCACUUCCCAUGAGUCUUGCAAAUUCUUCACACAGAGAAUCAGUUGUUGCCCCAAAAAUAAUAUCAUCAACAUAGACCUGAACAGUGAGCAGGUUCCUUCCUCGUUUCUUUAAGAAAAGAGUGUUGUCAAUUUUCCCUCUUUUAAAGCCAUUUUCCAAAAGGAACUUUGACAACCUUUCGUACCAAGCUCAAGGAGCCUACUUUAGCCCGUACAGAGCUUUGUCCAGUUUAAACACAUAUUCAGGGUACUCAUAACAUAUAAACCCUGGGAGUUACUUCACAUAGACUUCUUCCUUAAGGAGUCCAUUCAAAUAUUUACUCUUGACAUCCAUUUGGAAUAAGGUGAAUUCUAUAUGAGAUGCAAAAUCUAAUAGAAUUCUAAUAGCUUCCAUGCGAGCUACUGGAGCAAACGUUUCAUCAUAGUCAAUCCCUUCCUCCUGAUUGUAGCCUUGGACCACUAGUCUGGCCUUGUUCCUUGUGGUAAUCCCAUGUUCAUCGAGCUUGUUUCUGAAUACCCACCUGGUUCCUAUAAUUGUUCGAUCUGGGGGUCUAGGUACCAGGUGCCACACAUUAUUUCUCUCAAACUGAUGUAGCUCGUCUUGCAUGGUUGUAAUCCAAUCUACAUCUUUCAAGGCUUCCUUGAUAUUUUUGGGUUCUAUCUAGGAGAGAAAGACUGAGAAAGCAAGUGAAUUUCUGGCCCUUGACCUAGUUUCUACUCCGGAAUCUAGAGGAGUAAUAAUGUUGUCUAUUGGAUGAGAGCUUGGGUGUCUCCAGUUAGACGCUUGAGGUUCAUUCUGAUAGGAAGAGGGUAUGUUUGACUGAUUUUCUUUUGUCCUUCUUUCAGGUGCUAGUGGAGUUCCCUGAACUGCAUCAACCACCCUUUCUUCAGCUUCAGUAGUUGUAAUUGAGGUGUUUGGUUCUAUUGAACAUGAUGCAGCAUUGUCUUCAUUUAGCUCCUUUACUUGACUAAUCAUAUCUGCCUUUUUGUUUGUCAUGUUAAUGACUUCACCAAGGACUAGUGAGGGUUCUCCAUCUUGAUCUUCCUCAGCACUCUUCUCACAUGAUGGAUAAGACUCAUCAAAAAUAACAUGGACACUUUCCUCAACACAUUGAGUCCUCUUAUUAUAUAUCUUGUAAAUCUUACUUUGAGAUCCUUUCUAUUGUUAAGAACAUAGCAUUUGCACCCAAAUGUUCUUAGGUGGGUCAGCUUUGGUUUCCUUCCAUUUAACAAUUCAUAUGGGGUUUUGUUCAGAAAUAUCUAAUCAUGCACUGUUCACCAAGUAGCAGGCAGUGUUGACAGCUUUAGCCCAGAAGUUCUUUGCAAUUCCACUAUCGAUCAGCAUUGUUCUUGCCAUUUCUUCCAGAGUUCUGUUCUUCCUUUCUACUACUCCAUUUUGCUGGGGAGUUUUAGGAGCUGAAAAGUUAUGAGUGAUGCCAUUUUCAUUGUAGAAUUCAUCAAAUUUGACAUUGUCGAAUUCUGUCCCAUGAUCUGAUCUAAUGCAUGCAACUCUAGACUCCAUCUUCACCUAGAUUUUCUUCACAAAGGCCGCAAACACCUCAAUAGUUUCAUCUUUGGUUCUGAGAAACAGAGUCCAUGUGAAUCUGGAGUAGUCAUCUACUAUCACAAAAAUGUAUCUUUUUCCUCUUCAACUUUGCACUCUCAUAGGUCCAUGCAGAUCCAUAUGCAGAAGCUCUUGGGGCUUUGAGGUUCUCACAUCUCUUUUAGACUUAAAAUAGGACUUCACAUGUUUUCCUCUAGUACAAGCAUCACAGAUUUUUGCAUCUUGAAUUGUGACAUAGGCAGACCAUGAACCAGGUCAUUCUGAAUUAGUUUGUUUAGAAGAGAAAAACUUGCAUGGCCCAGUCUUCUGUUCCAUAGUUUAGCAUCAUCAUCAACAACUUUCAAACACCUCAGAUCACCACUCUGUAAGUACUCAAAAUCAGCAACAUAGAUGUUCUUGUAUCUUUUGGCCACAAGUAUUAUUUCACCGGUCACAAGAUCAGUGACUGUACAUAUUUUGGACAAGAAUUCCACCUUGUUUCCUUUGUCACAGAUUUGAGAGACACACAAGAGACUGUACUUAAGUCCAUUGACAUAGUACACAUUUUCAAUAGAAUGAGUGAGUGACUUUCCAACUUUUCCAACUCCAACAAUGUACCCCUUUUUUCCAUUGCCAAAGGAUACUCCCUCCUUGCAGGGCUUUCAGUGCAAGAAAGUCCGUAGUGUUCCCAGUCAUGUGCUUUGAAAACCCACUAUCCAUGAACCAUUGUUGACCACUUCCUUUCAUUGUUCCCUGCACAAAGGAUUAAGAGUUAGUUUUAGGAACCCAAGCAUGUUUAGGUCCCUUGUAGUAGGCAAGAGGAUGAAUCAGAGUUCUCUUAGUCCAUGUAGGUAAUGUAUGUUUCUUGUGAGUGGUACUUGGUCCCUCUUUUGUAGUCACCUUUUCAGCAAAUACUUUGUUUUUCUGAAUCGAUUGAUUCUUGGCCUGGACAUCUUCCUUAAAGUGCCUAGUGUUCCCACAUUGGGUACAAGGCCAGUCAUCAGAGACAGUGACGUACUUGCUAUGAGGGUUGUGAGGAGUUUUCUACCUUUGGGACCCUAUUCCCUUCCUGUUUUCACAAUCAUUAGUAUGCAAGGCAAUGGUAACUUCUGAGGACCAGGUCCACUUUAGGGACUUUUCAAGAUCAUUAUUUACUCUUUCCAGAUCAGUUUGGAGUUGCUCAUUUUUCUUAAUUUCCGCACACAUCCUAGAUCUUAUAGCUUUCACCUCAUUUUCAAGCCUAAUGUGUUCCUCACUAGCUAUCUCAUUUCCCUUUCCAAAAUUUUCAGGUUUUGACUUAGUCCAUGGUUUCACUAUUGUUUCCCUUAGGUCUAUAAUUUUUGCCAAUAGAUCAUCCUUUUCUUUUCUAAGGAUUUCAAUGGUUUUAUUAUGGUCAGUAACUACAACCACUAAGUCGUCUUUAGUUUGUUCAAAUUCUCCUAAUUCUAAGGUCAAGGAAUCCCUAUCCUCCACAAGACUAUGAAAAACAGUAAUAAAUACUUUAACUAAAAACAUGAGUUUUUUGGGAGAAUAGGAUUUCAGAUUUCUCUGAACAUCCCUGAAAGUUACCUUUUUGUUGUCGUUGUCUUCAUCAUCAUCUAAUUGAGCCAUCAAAGCAAAAGUUAAGUCAUAACCAAUCUCCUCGCCUUCAACUGCCAUCAUGGAACUAUCACCAAUAUCAGGUUCAUCUUCAAACUCAGUAGAGGAAUCCCUCCAUGUUGCAAGAGCAUGUCUGAUCAUAUUGUCAGCAGAUCUUUUUCUCUUGAAGUCCUUGAAAGGAACCGGGUUCGUCUUAGCUGUUUUCUUAUGGUAGUUCUGGGAGAAUUCUUCCUUUAAGAGAGGACAGUCUUUCAUGAAAUGUCCAGGCUUUCCACACUUGUAGCAAAGAUCGCGAUUUUUACUCUGUUUGAGCUGUCCCUUUUUAGCAUUUCUCCAUUUCUUCUAACCAUCUUCUGAAAUCUUUUGUUUAAGUAAGCCAUGUCGCUGUAUUCCUCACUUGAAUCAUUGUUAUCAGCUUUAAGUACCAGGUUCUUUUCCUUAUUUGGUUCUCUUCUUGCACUGUCUAUCUUUCUCUUCAACUCAUAAGUCUUCAAGUUUCCGAUCAACUCUUCUAUGGUCAGCUCCUGUAAGUCCUUUGACUUAGUGAUAUCAUUAACUUUGCUUUCCCAAGAACUAGGAAGAAAACUGAGGAUUUUUCUUACUAGCCUGUUUCUGGGGAUAGUUUCACCAAGUUAGUGUAACUCAUUUAUGAUGGAAGUGAAUCUUGUGUGUAUAUCUUGAAUGGAUUCAUCAUCCCUCAUUUUGAAGAGUUCAUACUCGGUAGUGAGCAUAUCAAUCUUAGACUAUUUUACUUGUGUAGUUACCUCAUGCGCUGUUUGCAAAGUUCUCGUAUCUCCUUCGCAGUGUCGCAGGUAGAGAUUCUAUUGUACUCUUCACGUCCUAUUCCACAUACCAGAAUUUUCUUGGCACGAAAAUUCUCCUCCACAACUUUCUUGUCUGCUUCAGUGUACUCGUUGCUGGUUUUUGCCAUUGAAAAUGGAAAUUCCUCUAGUACCUUGGUUGGAACAUAAGGACUAUCGCAUAUGAUAUCACAUAACUCACAAUCCUCAGCCAUGAUAAAAUCGUGCAUUCUUGUUUUCCACUACCUAUAGUAUUGUCCAUUGAACUUGGGUGGUCGGUAUAUAGAUUGACCUUCUUCAAAAUUUGGUAGAGCAGCCAUGAGGAUCCUUCCUAGGUGUUAGCCUGAUAGGAGAAAACCGCUCUAAUACUAAUUGUUAGUUUGUGUAAGUCCACCAAAUAGUAGAGUACUUGGUCCUCUACGAGAUUCUACUGAGAAUGCAAAUAAAACAGUACGUAAAUAAGGGAGAGGAGUUUUACAUGGAAAAAUCCCAUACAAGGGGAUCAAAAAACCGCGACCUAUACCAGUAGGAUUUAAGCCUCACUAACUUGUAAAACCUAUUACAAGCCAAUUUGCAAUGACUCCACUACAAAGAAUUUACUCAACUAACUUGUGGUACUCUUACCACAAGGCACUUUGUGACUUCCUUGUUACAAAGGCUUUUACUAACUUGUGAUGCUCUCACCACAAGCCACUUUAUAACUCUACGAUUACAAAGAUUUUUGCUUAUGACUAUACCUAGUCACAACAUAAACACAAGGAGUUUACGGAUUUGCAAGAGGAUUCCUAAUCAAACGCUUCUAGCUAAGCAGUUUAGGAGAUACAGUAAGUACAAUCACAAAGUUACAACUCCACUAGGACAACAACAAGCUAUCUUUUAGGAACUGGUUCGUAGUUGCGUUUAGCUUUGUUCUUCAAGCUUGUGAGGAUUGUUUUCUCUAUUUUUUGAAAGAAGCUUGAAUGAGAAACUGAAACCUUCAAGUGAUGUUUUGUAUAAACUCAUUGUAGGUACAUCUUGAUCACAUCACUUGAAAUGAUGUGAGCACUUUAGUUGGUCAGAGAAUGGUGGAUGCUAGAGACAGUGCAGUGCAACAGAAACAGUAUUCAGUCACUUCAUUUCCAGCUAUGACCAAUUGACUUGUGCUGUGAUAAGGAAAGCACAAGGGUAUCAUGUCCUUGUUUGGAUUCCUAGCUCCUGAAGCUGUAACAGUUCUUAUUUUGCUGGAAUUCGUUAAGCUUGCAGUAUAGUCCGAGUAGGUCAACUUCCCUAUCUGGUUCUUAACAGUAGGUUUGUUAGAUCAUCAAAACAUAAGGCAAGAACAUUUAAAACUUAUCAAUUUCCCCUUUUUGAUGAUGACAAACUUAACAAUUAUAGAGUGGAUUUAGAACAGUAAGAACCAGAUUAUGUAACAGGAUAACACAUGUUUCCCCUGACUCUAUCAGGAUAACACAGGUUCCCCCUGAAACACAGGCCCCGUGUUAUUUUUCCCCCUUUUGGCAUCAUUAAAAAGACAAAAUAACAGCACAAAGAAGUCCAUCUAAGCUAACUCAUGCCACAUAUGUGCACACAAUCAUGAUAGAGAAUAGAAACAUAGAAGGAAUGUACUGACAUAAUAAAACAAGGAUUGAUAUUAAUAAAACUUUAAUAUGCCUUUGCUUUGAAAAAGCGAAAGGCAACAUUGGACUUGUUAAAACGUGAGCAUUAAUGUUUCAUCCCAACCAAAUAAAAAAGAAAACAAAAACAUCCGCCAAAACAUCAAAGAAAAAUUAAUAAAUAUUUCUAGAAACUGGUCACUGAAGGGGUACUUAGGGGGCACUAGGAGUAAAGGGCUUGGAAGUUGCAGCAAAUGUUUGGAGAACGAGGUCUAUUCGGGCAUUUCCUGACUUUUUCUCAUUGAGCAGUUCUGCCUUCAGGUUCUCUACUUGCGCCCUGAGAUCAACAUUCUCCUUUGUCAAAUGAGCCACUUCAUCAUGUGACACCGGAACCCCUUGGGCUUGCUGACCUUCCAAGAUAGCAUUCCUGGCCUUCAACCGACUAAUUUCCUCAGUUGCACUGUUCUGAGCAUUAAUAAGUUGUGAGACGGUUGAUACCCCCCCCCAUUCUUUUCCACACCCUCGCACUCUUCCAAUGUUGUCUGAUAUAAAGUCUACUUCCUAGUUCCCACCUUGCCUAUCCCUAGUGGGACUUCAAAAAAUCUGAACACUUGUGUAAGAAAGAACCCAUAGGGAAUGCCAUGAUUACCAUCUUUGAAAGUGGAAACCUUUUUCAUGUGCUCAAUCAAAAUAGCAGGCAGACUCACAGGAGUAAAAUUGUCCAGUUGCUCCAUUAAGAAUAGGUCAAACUUAGAAGUCACUAACCUCCUCUCAGCUCGAGGCAAUAGAACUUUGUUAACCAAUUCAAACAACAGCUGAUAGACAGGGAGUAGCGCUUUUUUAUGGAUGUGGUCCCCUUUCUGGUUUGCAUUGGUUUUUACAAUAUCAUUUCUGAAGUUAAACUGACACACAUCUUUUACACUGGACACACCAGCUGUAGGAACUUUUAGGAUCUCUCCAAGCAUUCAGAGACAUGGCUGACUUCACUUCUCAUUUUCUUCGUAGAACUAGUUUUUUCAAAAGUUUCAGACUUGCAUUUUUUGGACUUCUCUCCACUGAUUUUUCCUUUUCCUUUGGAUUUGAUUAGCACAUCCUCAUCAGACAUCGAAAACUCACUUACCACCUCAUUCAUCUUGGACCUAGAUAUUGACCCCUUCUCUACUAAAGUAGGCUUCGUCUUUUUUGAAGACCGUCUAACAAGUGAACCAGGUUCAUCUAGGGUUUCCUCUUUCACCCCAACUACAGGGAUCACCUCAUCACUUACAGGUACACCGUCUUUCACCAACUUUCUCCUUCUCUUCUUACUACUCUUCUUGCUUUUUUUAAGAGCAGAAUCGUAGGCCACCUUAACUUGAAGCCUGGUAGUAGGUCAUUUGGUUUCAGACUCAGGAGUGGACACAACCCUCCACUUGCUUAUGAAUGCAUAAAGAGCCACAUUGUCCAGGUAUUCUUCAUCACUAGAUCUCAUUUCAGGUGCUUGAUUUUCCAAGGGCACAACAUCGAAUGCAGGAACAACAUUGUCCUAAGAAUGAGAGCCCUGACCUGGGUCCUCCGGAGAGGGAUCAGGUUCCUCAUGUGAUGCCCCAGUAGUAUCUGCUAGUGCAUCUCCUUCAACAGUUACAACGGCCCCUUCUUCCCCCACACCUUGUGCCUUAUUUUUCUGAGAGGUGACCUCAUGCAGUACACCAUUAGUAGACACCACAAACAUGGUUACAACAUUUGUCUCUUCAUCACAUGGUGCUACCACUACCAUGGAAUUGGUAGUAACGAUGGCAGAACUCGUUGUGACCUCAGGAUUUUGACCUUGUUCUCCACUUGGUUUUUGAUGGGGGGGAGCCUCAGACGAUGGGGAGAACGGAGCAGCAGUGUCAAGGGUUUCUAAAUUAGGAAGAGACUAGGAGACUGGGUGAGGUGUGACUAUAGCAGCAGGAGUAACAGUAGAUAAGGAAGGCUCAGUGGGAGCGGAAGGCUCCAGAGAUUGAUUAGUAGUAGUUACAACUGAGGCAGGGAGAUUAGAAGUUGUCUUAGCCAUUAAAAAAGAAAAGACGAUGUUUUUGGGAAAUUCUAAUGGAAGACUUAUGGUUAGAAGAGCAGAAAAUAGGGUUUUUAAAAGGAGAGGAUAAUUAUGAAGAGAGAGGAAUAGGCAACGGUUCUUAAAUGGUGGUUAGGCAUGGAGAAUUGCAAUGUUUCAGAGGGAGAUGGCACGAUUUGAAAUGAAGAGACAUGAUAGCAGGAUUUGAAAAGUUGAUGACAUGGCAGUUGUGUUUUGUACCCUUUUUAAGAUGUGUAUUAAAGGAUGCACAGAACUACUAACCUUUGGUACAAUAACCAGGUUCUUGACCUUUUUAUUUGAAGGAGUCAAUCCUCUUUUAUCAUUCAAGCACUGCAUCUACAGCUUCUAUACUCAUCAUGCGUGUUUACCUGCAACGGUAUUGAAGUGAGUUAGACAUGGCCAAAAAACACUUUUAACCAGUUAUUUCUUGAAGGUGAAAGCUAGAUAAAGAGGAAUCAGGUUCUUAAUUGGGCUUUAAAAGCCCCAACUUCACUAUGUUUCUUUCAAACUAUUCCCUACUUAGUGCCUUGGUGAAGAUGUCUACAAUUUGAUCUUCUGUCCUGUAGAACUUCAUACAUAUCAGCCCUUUCUCCACAUUGUCCCUCAGAAAAUGAUGCCUCACAUAAAUAUGCUUUGUCCUUUUGUGUUGAACUGGAUUCUUAGCCAUGUUGAGUGCACUGGUGUUGUCACAUAGAAGGGGCACACUCUCAGUGAGUACCCCAAAGUCCUCUAGUUGCUGCUUGAACCAUAAAAGCUGAGCACAUCAGGAUGUUGCGGCUACAUAUUCAGCUUCAGCUAUUGAAAGAGCCACCGAAUUUUGCUUCCUUGUGACCCAAGAGAUAAGGCAUGAACCUAAGAAGUGAGCCAUUCUAGAAGUUUUUUUCCUGUCCACAAGAUAACCUGCAUAAUCUGCAUCAGCAUACCCAAUCAAAUUAAAACUGUCACCUGACGGUAAUACAACACUAGGUCAUGUGUUCCUUUGAGAUAUCUCAGUAUUCUUUUGGCAGCCUUCAAGUGAGAUUCCUUGGGAUUUGAUUGAAACCUUGCACACAGCCCCAUACUGAAAACAAUAUCAGGACUGCUGGCUAUGAGAUAGAGGAGAGACUCAAUAAUGCCUCUAUACAUGGUUUGAUUCACAUGGGAUCCUGUUUCAUCCAUGUCAAGUCGAGUGGCAGUAGCAAUGGGAGUGUCUAUCACCAUUGAUGCUUCCAUGUCAAACCUCUUCAAGAGCUCCCUGAUGUAUUUUUGCUGACAAAUGGAUAUACCCUUUGGGGACUGUUUUACUUGAAGACCCAAGAAGAAGUUCAGUUCCCCCAUCAUGCUUAAUUCAAAUUCACUUCCCAUGAGUCUUGCAAAUUCUUCACACGAAGAAUCAGCUGUUGCUCCAAAAAUAAUAUCAUCAACAUAGACCUGAACAAUGAGCAGGUUCUUUCCUCAUUUUUUUAAGAAAAGAGUGUUGUCAAUUUUCCCUCUUUUAAAGCCAUUUUCCAGAAGGAACUUUGACGACCUUUCAUACCAAGCUCAAGGAGCCUGUUUUAGCCCGUAUAGAGCUUUGUCCAGUUUAAACAUAUAUUCAGGGUGCUCAUGACAUUUAAACCCUGGGGGUUACUUCACAUAGACUUCUUCCUUAAGGAAUCCAUUCAAAAAUGCACUCUUGACAUCCAUUUGGAACAAGGUGAAUUCUAUAUGAGAUGCAAAAGCGAAUAGAAUUCGAAUAGCUUCCAUGCGAGCUUCUGGAGAAAACGUUUCAUCAUAGUCAAUCCCUUCCUCCUGAUUGUAGCCUUGGACCACUAGCCUGGCCUUGUUCCUUGUGGUAAUCCCAUGUUCAUCGAGCUUGUUUCUGAAUACCCACCUGGUUCCUAUUAUGGUUCGAUCUGGGGGUCUAGGUACCAGGUGCCACACAUUAUUUCUCUCAAACAGAUAUAGCUCAUCUUGUGUGGCUGUAACCCAAUCUGCAUCUUUCAAGGCUUCCUUGAUGUUUUUGGGAUCUAUCUGGGAGAGAAAGGCUGAGAAAGCAAGUGAAUUUCUUGCUCUUGACCUAGUUUCUACUCCGGAAUAUAGAGGAGUAAUAAUGUUGUCUAUUGGAUGAGAACUUUGGUGUCUCUAGUUAGACGCAUGAGGUUCAUUCUGAUAGGAAGAGGGUAUGUUUGGCUGAUUUUCUUCUGUCAUUCUUUCAGGUGCUAGUGGAGUUCCCUGAACUGCAUCAACCACCCUUUCUUCAUCUUCAGUGGUUGUAAUUGAGGUGCUUGGUUCUAUUGAAGAUGAGGCAGCAUUGUCUUCAUUUAGCUCCUUUAGUUGACUCAUCAUUUCUGCCUUUCCGUUUGUCUUGUUAAUGACUUCACCAGGGACUAGUGAGGGUUCUCCAUCUUGAUCUUCCUCGGCACUCUUCUCACAUGAUGGAUAAGACUCAUCAAAAAUAACAUGGACACUUUCCUCAACACAUUGAGUCUGCUUAUUAUAUAUCUUGUAAGCCUUGCUUUGAGAAGAGUAUCCCAGAAAUAUUCCUUCAUCACUCUUGGCAUCGAAUUUACCAAGCUGAUCCUUUCCAUUGUUGAGAACAUAGCAUUUGCACCCAAAUGUUCUUAGGUGAGUUAGCUUGGGUUUCCUUCCAUUUAACAGUUCAUAUGGGGUUUUGUUCAGAAGUGAUCUGAUCAUGCACCUGUUCACCAAGUAGCAGGCAGUGUUGACAGCUUUAGCCAAGAAGUUCUUUGCAAUUCCACUGUCAAUCAACAUUGUUCUUGCCAUUUUUUCCAGAGUUCUAUUCUUCCUUUCUACUACUCCAUUUUGCUGGGGAGUUCUGGGAGCUGAGAAGUUAUGAGUGAUCCAUUUUCAUUGCAAAAUUCAUCAAAUUUUACAUUGUCGAAUUCUGUCCCAUGAUCUGAUCUAAUGCAUGCAACUCUAGACUCCAUCUUCACCUAGAUUUUCUUCACAAAGGCCACAAACACCUCAACAGUUUCAUCUUUGGUUCUGAGAAACAGAGUCCCUGUGAAUAUGGAGUAGUCAUCUACUAUCACAAAAAUGUAUCUUUUUCCUCCUCUAUUUUGCACUCUCAUAGCUCCACGCAGAUCUAUAUGCAGAAGCUCUAGGGGCUUUGAGGUGCUCACAUCUCGUUUAGACUUAAAAGAGGAAUUCACAUGUUUUCCUCUAAUACAGGCAUCACAGACUUUUUGCAUCUUGAAUUGUGACAUAGGUAGACUAUGGAUCAGGUCCUUCUGAAUUAGUUUGUUUAGAAGAGAAAAACUUGCAUGGCCCAGUCUUCUGUUCCAUAGUUCAGCAUCAUCUUCAACAGCUUUCAGACACCUCAGAUCACCACUCUGUAAGGACUCGAAAUCAGCAACAUAGAUGUUUUAAUAUCUUUUGUCCACAAGUAUUAUUUCAUCGGUCACAAGAUCAGUGACUGUACAUAUUUUGGACAAGAAUUUCACUUUGUUUCCUUUGUCACAGAUUUUAGAGACACACAAGAGACUGUACUUAAGUCCAUUGACAUAAUACACAUUUUCAAUAGAAUGAGUGAGUGACUUCCCAACUUUUCCAACUACAAGAAUGUACCCCUUUUUUCCAUUGCCAAAGGAUACAUUCCCUCCUUGCAAGGCUUUCAGUGAAAGAAAGUCCGUAGUAUUCCCAAUCAUGUAUUUUGAACACCCACUAUCCAUGAACCAUUGUUGACCACUUCCUUUCAAUGUUCCCUGCACAAGAGAUUAAGAGUUAGUUUUAGGAACCCAAGCAAGUUUAGGUCCCUUGUAGUAGGCAAGAGGAUGAAUCAGAGUUCUCUUAGUCCAUGCAGGUAAUGUACGUUUUUUAUGAGUGGUACCUGGUCCCUCUUUUGUAGUCACCUUUUCAGCAAACACUUUGUUUUUUUGAAUCGAUUGAUUCUUGGCCUGGACAUCUUCCAUGAAGUGCCUAGUGUUCCCACAUUGGGUACAAGGCCAAUUAUCAGAGACAGUGACGUACUUACCGUGAGGGUUGUGAGGAGUUUCUACCUUUGGGACCCUAUUCUUUGCCUGUUUUCACAAUCAUUAGUAUGCAAGGCAGUGGUAACUUCUGAGGACCAGGUCCACUUUAGGGACUUUUCAAGAUCAUUAUUUACUCUUUUCAGAUCAGUUUGGAGUUGCUCGUAUUUCUCAAUUUCCACACACAUCCUAGAUUUUAUAGCUUUCACCUCAUUUUCAAGCCUAAUGUGUUCCUCACUAGCUAUCUCCUUUCCCUUUCCAAAAUUUUCAGGUUUUGACUUAGUCCAUGGUUUCACAGUUGUUUCCCUUAGGUCUAUAAUUUUUGCCAAUAGAUCAUCCUUUUCUUUUCUAAGGAUUUCAAUGGUUUUCUUAUGGUCAGUAACUACAACCACUAAUCGUCUUUAGUUUGUUCAAAUUCUCCUAAUUCUAAGGUCAAGGAAUCCCUAUCCUCCACAAGACUAUGAAAAGCAACGAUUAAUACAUUAACUAAAAACAUGAGUUUUUUGGGAGAAUAGGAUUUCAGAUUUCUCUGAACAUCCCUGAAAGUUACCUUUUUGUUGUCGUUGUCUUCAUCAUCAUCUAAUUGAGCCAUCAAAGCAAAAGUUAAGUCAUAACCAAUCUCCUCGCCUUCAACUGCCAUCAUGGAACUAUCACCAAUAUCAAGUUCAUCUUCAAACUCACUAGAGGAAUCCCUCCAUGCUGCAAGAGCAUGUCUCAUCAUAUUGUCAGCAGAUCUUUUUCUCUUGAAGUCCUUAAAAGGAACCGGGUUCAUAUUAGCUAUUUUCUUAUGGUAGUUCUAGGAGAAUUCUUGCUUCAAGAGAGGACAGUCUUUCAUGAAAUGUCCAGGCUUUCCACACUUGUAGCAAAGAUCACGGUUUUUGGUCUGUUGGAGCUGUCCCUUUUUAGCAUUUCUCCAUUUCUUCUGACCAUCUUUUGAAAUCUUUUGUUUAAGUAAGCCAUGUCACUGUCUUCCUCACUUGAAUCAUUGUUAUCAGCUUUAAGUACCAGGUUCGUUUCCUUCUUUGGUUCUCUUCUAGCACUGUCUAUCUUUCUCUUCAACUCAUAGGUCUUCAAGUUUCCGAUCAGCUCUUCUAUGGCCAGCUCCUGUUAGUCCUUUAACUCAGUGAUAUCAUUAACUUUGCUUUCCCAAGAACUAGGAAGAAAACUGAGGAUUUUUCUUACUAGCCUGCUUCUGGGAAUAGUUUCACCAAGUGUGUGUAACUCAUUUAUGAUGGAUUUGAAUCUUGUGUGCAUAUCUUGAAUGGAUUCAUCAACCCUCAUUUUGAAGAGUUCAUACUCGGUAGUGAGCAUAUCAAUCUUAGACUAUUUUACUUGUGUAGUUCCCUCAUGCGCUGUUUGCAAAGCUUCCCAUAUCUCCUUCGCAGUGUCGCAUGUGGAGAUUCUAUUGUACUCUUUAGGUCCUACUCCACAUACCAGAAUUUUCUUGGCACGAAAAUUCUCCUCCACAACUUUUUUGUCUGCUUCAGUGUACUCUUUGCUGAUUUUUGCCAUUGAAAAUGGAAGUUCCUCUAGUACCUUGGCUGGAACAUAAGGACUAUCGCAUAUGAUAUCCCAUANNNNNNNNNNNNNNNNNNNGUAGNGCAGCCAUGAGGAUCCUUCCUAGGUGUUAGCUUGAUAGGAGAAAACCGCUCUGAUACCAAUUGUUAGUUUGUGUGAGUCCACCAAAUAGUAGAGUACCUGGUCCUCUACGAGAUUCUACUAAGAAUGCAAAUAAAGCAGUAUGUAAAUAAGGCAGAGGAUUUUUACAUGGAAAAAUCCCAUACAAGGGGAUAAAAAAACCGCGACCAAUACCUGUAGGCUUUAAGCUUCACUAACUUGUAAAACCUAUUACAAGCCAAUUUGCAAUGACUCCACUACAAAGAAUUUACUCAACUAACUUGUGAUGCUCUCACUACAAGCCACUUUGUAACUCUACGAUUACAAAGACUUUUGCUUAUGACAAUACCUAGUCACAACAUAAACUCAAGGAGUUUACGGAUUUACAAGAGGAUUCCUAAUCAAGCGCUUCUAGCUAAGCAGUUUAGGAGAUAUAGUAAGUACAAUCACAAAGUUACAACUCCACUAGGACAACAACAAGCUAUCUUUUAGGAACCGAUCCGUAGUUGCGUUCAACUUUGUUCUUCAAGCUUGUGAGGAUUGACUUCUCUGUUUUUUGCAAGAAGCUUGAAUGAGAAACUGAAACCUUCAAGUGAUGUUUUGUAUGAACUCAUUGUAGGUACAUCUUGAUCACAUCACUUGAAAUGAUGUGAGAACUUUAGUUGUUCAGAGAAUGAGUGGGCGCUGGAGACAGUGCAGUGCGGCAGAAACAGUGCAGUCAGUCACUUCAUUUCCAGUUGUGACCAAUUGACUUGUACUGUGAUGAGGAAACCACAAGGGUAUCAGGUCCUUGUUUGGAUUCCUAGCUCCUAAAGUUGUAGCAGUUCUCCUUUAGCUGGAAUUCGUUAAGCUUGCAGUAUAGUCCGAGUAGGUCAGGUUCCCUAUCUGGUUUUUAGCAGUAAGUUUGUUAGAUCAUCAAAACAUAAGGCAAGAACAUUUAAAACUUAUGAGUGUGUUUCACAUAUUUUUGUGAAACUGAUGCUUAUGAAAAAAGGGGAAUUUAUUUACUUUAAACAACAUCAGGGGGGUCAUGGGACCCCCGCAAAGUUAAAGGGUGCAUAUGGUAAAACAGGACAACUCUAAGGGGGUAAUUAUGUAUUAUCCCAUUAAUAUUUAAUGGAACAUUUUCUAGUUUAUUCUACAUGUGAUCCAAUGGAACAGUGUCCAAUGAACUCAACAAAUGCACAUAAGUUUGUUCAAGGAAUUAGCUCACUCAUGCAGUGGUAUACAAGGUUAUGAUGAAGAGAAGCUACAAAUUUUCCCAAAAAAAAAUUCAAUAAAACAGUGUACAAAACUUGCCUGUUUGGUCAUAGAUUUUGCCAAAAUAUAUUUGGUUUUUUUUUGGCAAAUCCAUGUUUGUUCAUAAAUUUUAUCUACAUUUUGGCAAAUUCCCAAAUCCCAAAAUCAGCUUAAGAGAUGAUUUUGGACCAAAAUAUCACUAUUACAUUUUUUUAAAAAUGGCCCCAAACUUUUGUAUUUUAUAAAAGAGCCCACCAUUUUAUUAUUUUGUAACAAUGCUAAUUCGUCUUUUCGGUCAUCUGAUAGUCUAUUAUUUAGUUCAUUAUAAAAAUGAUAAUUUUGUACCAAAUUUAUUUAUGUUAAGGACUAUGGUUUGCGAUAAUAUAAUUAAUGUUAUUGAUAAAGGUACUGUUGGGUAUUUGUGAUAGUUUUUUGAACUUGUGGGUAUAAGUAAUGUUUCAUGUUUUUUCAAAAAAAAAAGUGAAAUAUGUUUUGAAAACUUAUGUCCAAACACAUUUUCAUCUUCAAAACAAACUUCACCCAAAUCAGAUUUUCAAAACAAAUUUGGGAAUCUAUGGCCAAACGCUAACUAACAAGCUUGAGAAUGGACUAUUUGCAGCAAAUUAUACGUUCAGUUUUGAUAUGGUUUCAAUAUGCUAUGAGGAGAAUAAGAAGUUGUCCAAUUUGGCUAUUUCAUUCUGCAGUUUGUAGUGGUCACAAGGCAUCAAGUGUGAAGCUUUUUCUAUGUUAAGCUUUGGCUAUAGUUUUAGACUAGUUUUUUUUUACGUAUUCUAUGUUAUUCAUUCUAGAUCAAUGUGUAAUAUCAAAAUAAAGUAUCAAAAUGCUCUAUUUCAUAAUAGGUCUUAUGCAAGUUUUGGACUUUCAGCUAUUAUACUGUCUUCAUGUAAGACUAUAUUUUCAAAAAUAUAAAAAAAUUAACCCUAGGAAUUAUGCCUAGCAAAUAUGCGGUUAAAAAAAUAAUGGGCCGAAAAAUAUUAUCUACAUAUUGUCGGUAAGCUCUCAAUGAGCUCUAUAAAAGCCCUAAGAUUUCCCGCAAAAACUAGGCAUUUACAUACAUGAUAUAUUGCAAAAAUGAUUCAAAACUACAUACUAAACCCUAGUUUGCAUGUAUUGCAUAUAAAUCACGUAAACAACAGGAACACAAAUCUAUGGCUCUGAUACUAAUGAUAUAUUUAACCGUAAAAUACCAGUUUCAAAGAUUAUGGUUUCUCCUUUGCAAAAGCGGAUCUGCAAUAAGCACAACUUGUGUCACCGGUCGUUGAGAAUCCUCACAAAGAGGAUUAACUCCCUCUAUCCACACCUUACUAAUCCUCACAGAUAGAUCUUGUUUUAUAUAAAAAUCCUAGUCAUUUCUAUUAUAACGAAAAAGUCACAUCUUAAACACUCAUAAUGGUGUUUAUAUAGGCUAUCUCUAGGAUUUUAUGUGGAGAAAUAAAUAAUGGGCUCAUGGGCUAUCUAACACCCCUUAUGGGUGGAUCCGACCCAAUAAUAUUCUUCCAAUAGAAAAAAACCAUGAUCAAAUUAUCCAAGCAUCACAGAAUUAAACAAACAAUAAAAUAAAUAAUGAGUCUUAAGUUUACAAUAGUUUUACCACAAGGCAGCACUUGUAGACCCUAACAAAGGAGGAAACCUAGGAAGAAAAUAAGAAAUAAUUUAUUUACGUGCGAAUGUUAGAUACCGAUGGGGCAGUCAAAGCAUCAACUAAUAAUGUUGGGCUUGGGGGGGUGUUCAGAGAUACAAAUGGGGAUUGGGUGAUGGGCUAUGCGGGAAACUAUCCCAAAACAAACGUCACUAACAUAGAACUCAUGGCACUGUUUCGAGGAUUACAACUAGCAGCAGCUCACAACCUGACACCACUACAAAUUCACAUGGACGCCAAAGAGGUAAUUACCAUGUUUACUAGUACAUCCACAAUACAUACACUACAAUACACUCACAUUUGCUUAAUGAUUGCAGAUCCCUGAUCCAGACUCCAG